rnacentral:piRNA from 1 species
UAUUGUCUGUUAUACAUAGGCGGUGUA